UACAGAGGGUGCAAGCGUUAUCCGGAUUCACUGGGUUUAAAGGGUGCGUAGGUGGGCAGGUAAGUCAGUGGUGAAAUCUCCGGGCUUAACCCGGAAACUGCCAUUGAUACUAUCUGUCUUGAAUACCGUGGAGGUGAGCGGAAUAUGUCAUGUAGCGGUGAAAUGCUUAGAUAUGACAUAGAACACCAAUUGCGAAGGCAGCUCACUACACGAAUAUUGACACUGAGGCACGAAAGCGUGGGGAUCAAACAGG
rnacentral:rRNA from 1 species